rnacentral:tRNA from 1 species
GAAAUGCUAGUUAACAAAUAACAUUACUUUGUCAAGGUAAAAUUACAGGUUAAAAUCCAGUGCAUUUCU